GACGAACGCUGGCGGCGUGCCUAAUACAUGCAAGUCGAACGCAGUGGGGACGGGUGAGUAAAACGUGGGUAACCUCCCAUCAGAGGGGAUAACACUUGGAAACAGGUGCUAAACCGAUACUGAUGGAUGGAACAGAGGUGCAUUAGCUAGUUGGUGGGGUAAGGGCUCACCAAGGCAACGAGGCAUAGGCGACCGUGGGGGGUGAUCAGCCAACCUGGGGAUUAGGCACGGCCCAGACUCCGACGGGAGGCAGUAGUGGGGAAUCUUUCGCAAUGGGCGCAAGUCUGACCGAGCAACGCCGCGUGAGUGAAGAAGGUUUUCGGGUCGUAAAACUCUUUUGUUAGAGAAGCGGUAUCUAACCAGAAAGCCACGGCUAACUACGUGCCAGCCGCCGCGGUAAUUC
rnacentral:rRNA from 1 species